GGGAGUGUAGCUCAGUUGGUAGAGUGCUUGCCUAGCAUGCAUGNAGCCCUGGGCUCGAUCCUGGCAAUGCNC
rnacentral:tRNA from 1 species